rnacentral:rRNA from 1 species
GUCCACGCCGUAAACGGUGGGUACUAGGUGUGGGGACAUUCCACGUUCUCCGUGCCGUAGCUAACGCAUUAAGUACCCCGCCUGGGGAGUACGGCCGCAAGGCUAAACUCAAAGGAAUUGACGGGCCCCGCACAAGCGGCGGAGCAUGCGGAUUAAUUCGAUGCAACGCGAAGAACCUUACCUGGGUUUGACAUAUGCCGGAAACAUCUAGAGAUAGGUGCCCCUUUUUGGUCGGUUUACAGGUGGUGCAUGGCUGUCGU